AUUGCUUGAUCCUGCCAGUAGCACAUGCUUGUCUCACAAAUUAAGUCAUGGACGUUUAAGUACACAGAGCUGUUACAAUGAAACUGCAAAUGGAUCAUCCAGUCAGUUAUGGUUCCUUUGAUCGCUCCAUCUGUCACUUGGACAACUAUGGUCAUUCUAGAGCUAAAACAUGCUGAGGAGCGCUGAUGUCCCGGAAUACAUGCAUUGAUUGGAACAAGACCAAAAAAAGAUUGCCCGGCCGCUUUGUUGACUCUAGAUGAUCUCGGGCAGAUCAACAUGUCCCAGUUACAGCAACAAUACUUUCGGAUGUCUGCUCUAUCAUCUUUUGAUGGUACUUUCUGUGCCUGUCAUGGUGACCAUGGUUAACGGGCAAUCAGGGUUUGAUCCGGAGAGGGAUCAUGAGAAAAAGCUACCACAUCCAAGGAAGGCAGCAGGCGCAGAAAUGACCCACUCCCGGGGAGGUAGUGAUGAAAAAUAACAAUGAAGGACUCUUUCGAGGCCCAGAAAUUGGAAAGAAUGCAGUUUAAAUCCUUUAAACCGGAUCCAUUGGAGGGCAUGUCUGGUGCCAGUAGCCUUGGUAUUUCCAGCUCCAAUAGUGUAUGUUAAAGUUUACUGCAGAUAAAAAGCUCAUAGUUGGAUCUUGGGAAUGAGCUGAUGGUCUGCCACGAGUCAAGUUAUGGCCUGUGCCAGCACCUGCCUCUCAGCGCCCCCUUGAUGCUCGUGACUGAGUGUCCUGGGGAUCCAAAGCAUUUACUUCAAAGAAAUAAGAGUGUUCAAAGCAGGCCAGUCUCCUGAAUACAUCAGUUAGGCACAAUGGAAUAGGACUCUGGAUCUAUUUUGUUGGUUUUUGGAACUGGGGCCAUGGUUGAGAAGGACAGCCAGGGGAAUUUGUAGUGUGCCACUAGAGGUGAAAUUCUUGGUCUGGCUGGCGCAAGACGAACCAAGCUAAAGCAUUUCCAAGAAUGUGUUCAUUAACCAGGAACGAAUGUUGGAGGUUCGAAGAUGAUCAGAUACCGGUGUGGUUCCGAACAUAAACGCUGUCGACCAGCGAUCCGGCUGUGUUGUUCCCAUGACCCACCAAGCAGCUUGCAGGAAACCAAAGUCUUUUAAUUUCAAGGCUAGAACUUGACCACAUUGAUGGAAGGCCAUCACCAGGAGUGGAGCCUGCAGCUUAAUUUGACUCAACAUGGGAAACCUCACCUGGCCCGGACACAGAAAGGAUUGACAGAUGGCUUACUCUUUCCCGAUUCUGUGGAUAGUGGUGCAUGGCCGUUCUUAGUUGGUGGAGCCAUUUGUCUGGUUAAUUUUGAUAAGAAAUGAGACUCCUCCAUACCAACUGGUUCCGCAAACUUCAGCAGUCGGCGUUCAAGUUCUUAGAGGGACAAGUGGUGUUCAGCGACAUGAGAUUGAGCAAUAACAAGUCUGUGAUGCCCUUGGAUGUCCGGGGCUGCACACGCGCUUAACUGAAUGGAUCAGCGUGUGUCAACUUGUUGGUAACCUGUGGAACUCCGUUCAUGAUAGGCAUAGGGGAUUUCAAUUAUUUCCCACGAACUACGAAUUCCCAGUAAGUGCGGGUCAUAAGCUUGCUUUGAUUAGUCCCUGCCCUUUGUACACACAAUUGGAUGCUUUAAUGAGGUCCUGGGAUCGGCUCUGCAGUGUCAGCAACAGCCCUGGUGCAAUGCCAAGAAGACAAUCAAAUUUGACUAUCCUGAGGAAGUAAAAGUCAUAGCAAUGUUUCCGUAGGUAAACCUGCAGAAG
rnacentral:rRNA from 1 species